rnacentral:tRNA from 1 species
UCCCUGGUGGCUCAGAUGGUAAAGAAUCUGCCUGCAGUGCAGGGGACCCAGGUUUGAUCCCUGGGUUGGGAA